AUAGCUAAUUGCCAAUUAUUAAUGUAGCAUGUUUAUAUAGUAUGGUUAGUACUGCAUUUAAUAAAUUAUCGGUAGCAUUUUCUGCUAAUAUACAAGAAUAAGUGUUACUGCAAAUUAUACUUACUUCCCAUAAUAAUGGUUGUUUGUGAACUUUGUUAAGGUGUAUUUAGAGUACAUUGUUUUUCUCUCUUUGCAGUAUUUUUCUGUGCAUGCCUAUUCAGAAGUAUGUUCUAUUAAACCUGAUGAGAGUUUAGUCUCAGAUCAAUGUGAAAGAGUCUAUUAGAAACUUACAUUUUGGAAAAGGUCAUUUUUGUUAUCUUAUGGAAAUAUAACUACAGCUCCUUGAAAAACACCAUCAGUGGCCUCUGGAACACUGUCCCAAAGGCCCUAGGUGCCUGACUUUCCCAAACAAAAUGUCCCAAAUGAAGACAGAGAAUCUGCUAUUGGAGUCAGCACCUUCCUGCCAGCUUCUGCUACUGGCAAAUUCAAGGUUCCAAAGUCCUAGCCUUGGAAAGCCCCCAAAAGGGACUGUCAGUGGAAGGUCAUGAGAUCACAGUGAUCUUGCCCCCUCCCCAAUUUUGUCCAUUCCUCCAAGGGAAAUUUAAAUCCACCAUUUGGCUAAAACAGUGUCCCUCUCAUUUCUGCAAGUGGGAGGGGAGGAAAACCCUGGGGGAGGUUUUUGUGACCUUUUUCUGUUUCACCCACCUGCCCGCUGCUGGCAGUGUCCUUCAGCAUUGCAGCUGUCUGAUCAACUGAUUGCUGUUCAAGUAGCUUACAUUUUAACCUGGAGAUGAAAUCCAGAUCUCCUGACUGCUUGUUUACAGAUUUUUUUCUUUUACUGAGAACCUGACAGAAGAACAACAUAUCUUAGAAUUUCAAGAUGUAUUUGCCAAAGCAAGCGAUAAGAAUCUCUCAUUUGAAAUGAUAGCACUGCCCAACCUAAGCUGAAGAAAAUAAAACUUCCUGCUGAAGUCAGAGGUCUUGUGUGGUCAGUGAAACAAAAAGAUAAAGCUUCUGCAUGUAUUCUGUUGCCUCUUCAUUAUCUGUCUUAUGUUAGAUAUCCAAUCCAAUGUAUCUCUGUCUUCUAGAACCUUCCCGUUCAUUUGGCAUUCCUCUCUGUGAGUAUGGUUUAUGCAUGAGGAAUUAAUCAUACAUAUUAAUUCCAUUGCAUUAGAAAUUAGUUUAAUGGUUCAGUAAUUCGUAUAU